AUUGAACGCUGGCGGCAGGCCUAACACAUGCAAGUCGAACGAGGGGCGGACGGGUGAGUAAUGUCUGGGAAACUGCCCGAUGGAGGGGGAUAACUACUGUAAACGGUAGCUAAUACCGCAUACCAUCGGAUGUGCCCAGAUGGGAUUAGCUAGUAGGUGGGGUAACGGUUCACCAGGGCGACGAUCCCUAGCUGGUCUGAGAGGAUGACCAGCCACACUGGAACUGGUACACGGUCCAUACUCCUACGGGAGGAGUGAUUGGGGAAUAGUGCACAAUGGGGGAAAGCCUGAUGCAGCCAUGCCGCGUGUAUGAAGAAGGCCUUCGGGUUGUAAAGUACUUUCAGCGAGGAGGCGUUACUCGCAGAAGAAGCACCGGCUAACUCCGUGCCAGCAGCCGCGGUAAUAC
rnacentral:rRNA from 1 species